rnacentral:lncRNA from 1 species
UUUUUUUUUUUUCUUGCUAUGACUAUGCUGUCUCACCCACUGUGUCUCCAGAUUUCCAUCUAAACUAUAGUUGUGGUUCUGAACCACAGCAUAUCAUCCUUGCAGGUGCAAACAGAAGCCUAUUUUCCCCAGUCUUUUGAUUUUCAUUGCAAUAAAAACAUCACAUCAGUAGUAUUGCUUCAAGCUCAUGAGCCUCAGCUGGGUCUGCUUUGUAUCCUCAAUGCAUGCUUUCUCCCAGAAAUCUUUUCCUGAGAAGGCCUAGCUGGCAUGGAGAUUCCUCCCAGUUAGGCAUAUACAGCUGGAAGGGGGAGAGGGCAGGGUGUGUGCAGACUGCCUCAGGUAUACACUGUUGGUUGGAUUGGGUGGUGGAGCUGGGGGGAGGUUAGGGAAGCUUAUCACCUGAACCCUCCCCACUUCAUGGUGACUUCCCAUUUGUCACCAUGUCUUCUGUUUAUUUGGUGACUAAAGGAUGAGGCACAGUGAUGCUGGCAGCAUUGUGAGGACUUGGGGACAGCAGAUCAAAGAGUGAAGCAAAUAUAUUUUCCAAUGUAGGAGAUCUAGCCCUCCAAGGACCCUGCUGCUUUCUUAGUUCAAAGGACUUCUGGAUUUUCAGCCUUCAUGCUCCACUCUUCAAGCUCCGCCCAGCCUCCCCAGAAUCCUUUGCUAAGAAUUUCUACUCCAGAUUCUGCAGUACACUUUCAUUUAUUUUCCUGCCUUUGAAUUGUUGGUGGGAUUAGAGCAUCAGAGACCUUGAGUCCAGACCUUGUUAACUGGCUGACCUGACGCAGGGGUUUUACAUUUCUAUGAAAAUUACUGAUUUUUAGAGGAAUCUGGGUAAGGAGGGGGGUAUAUGCCCUUUCAAUAAAGUAUACACUCUUGGGUAUGCUCUAUUUUAAGCAUGUAAUACAAGGGUGACAUAUUUUCUUUAAAAAACAAACAAACAAACAACAAAACCAAACACAAAACCCCUAAACUUCAAAGAAGAGUACUGGCAUAAAAGUGAAAAACGUAGGUAUUAUAACCAGUCAUUUUUUUAGUAGUUUCCAUGAAUAAUUAGUUCCUAGUUAUUGGUACCACGGAUACAAGAAUGAGUAAAGCUCGGCCUCCUCUUUGAAGGAACUAAGUUUAGUAGCACAGAGUUUUCUGUAAGCAGAUGAAUCGCAGUAUCACUCAGUAUGAAGUGGGAGAGAGGUGUAUGCAGAGUGUUGAGGGAGUCUGAGAAGGGAGUGCGUGGGCCGACGGUCACUGGUGUCUACUCAGUGCUCCUCUCCUCUUUGAAUAUUUAUUGUAAGUGGUUAGUGGCUAGAAUAUAUAUAUAUAUAUAUAUAUAUAUUUCCUUUUAAUUAACACUUGAAAAGAUUUCAACUUUGGGAUAUAUUUUAAAAAUACACAUAACACUAAAACUAUUCUUCCUGCAAUUGAAUUAUUUAAAAAAAUACAGAUUGAAGUUAUUUAUAACCACGAUAGCCAUUGCUAGAUGACUGGAGUCAGCACAUGAAGAAAGUCUCAGAGGAAUAAAUGUAUUUUGGUUAUUUACAGAGUGUAAAUUGGGAAAUUCUAAUAGCCCUUCAAAAUCAAAGAGCUGACUGUCUCCUAUACUCUGUUACCUUCUUUUCAACCAAUGUGGCAUUUACCCAAACUUUUCUGUAACCCAUAGCAACUGGGGAUGGGUUGGUUACUCCGGGAAAGUGAAUUUCUGGAGCAUUGGGGUGGAGCCUCUAUUUGCUGGUAGGGUCCAAGGCUGAAAAAGUCCACCCUGGCAGGAAUCCCCCUGGUUAGCUUUUGAGGCUUUCCACCCUUCUGUAGGCAGGAAGAACAUGCAAAUGUGUUUAUGUCUGAACAGCCCAGCCUAGCUGAUACAGUGUUCCUGGUGGUGUUUUCCUGCCAGAGAACCUUCCAUCAAGCUCACUCUUGGUGAACUGCUACAGUUCCUGGUUUGGGGGGCAGGAAAUUGGCGUUGGUGGGCCAAAGCUGAAGAAGCCUAAGAAGGUGUGGUCUUGGUUACCAAAUCAGAAGUUGCGAUAUCCUGAGUCUUAAUUUGAUCAGAGACCCUGACAUUCUCUCUUAUAAAAGGUCUCCGCUUUGAUGUCUCCGGAUACAGAAUUUGGACAAUGUCUUUUGCCUUUUGAAAAUGUACUUACGAUGAUUUUUUUUUGGAUGUUUGAUGAUUUUUCAAAAUGAAAUGUGAUAUAAGUGUCACCAGGCCCAUUUUUCUCCUUUUUCACCAGGAAUGCCCAGAAAUACGUUGUAUAAUGCAGAACUGUUCAACCCCUCACUUUUAAUCCUGCGAUCUGGAACAGCAAAGGCAUUGUUUCAGGAACAUUCUCAGCUAUUAGGUGGUCCAAAUUUCUGCAUUCUUUUCCUGCUUUCUUUGUUUUUUGUUCUAUAUGGUGGUAUGUUCACAGGGCAGAAUUUAUUACCUUGCCUUCAAGUGUCUUGUUAAAUAGUGGGUACUGUUAUUUGCAUGCAAAUGGCUUGCUUUCCACAUUCAAAAAUCUUGAAAAAAAUUUGAAGUUCAGGGUCCAAUUUUUCUAAGUUGCAUGUUCCGCUAACUACCCUGCCAACUUAUUUUCAGUGAGCAGGAUGUAGUAGAUGAGCUAAAGCUUCAAACACAGUAACAAUGAUUUGUAAGUUGGCCGUCGUUUUGGAUAACCCUUGCAGUAACUCUCCCGCUGGUUGAACAGAUUGUGAAAAGAGGAAGAUAAGAAUGUGUUUGGGAACGUCCUUCAACUUUCAUCUUAUUCUCCCACCAGGCCUCCUAGCUGGCAAGUCCUCUGAGCUGUUUUUCUCUUUCCAGCUUAUGGUGUCCAGUUUGCGGCCAGUUGUUGUCCCUGUGAACACUGCAAGAGAUGCAAGCCACCUAGAGCCAGUGUCAAGUACCAACUUGCUUCCACCUCAAUGUCAGGCACUGAGAAACUGCCAUGACAGGGACUGUUUGCCGAUCUCUAAUGGGAAGGAAUAGUUUAUCCUGACCAUUUACAUGAAGUGAAUGUGGGGUACAAAUGACAUCACAUGUUCUCUCUCCCUGUAUUUAAAGUCCAUUACCUGAACCAGCUCUUGUAUUAUUUUCUAGUGUAUUUUCUCCUCCUUCGUUUUCAUCGCUACCAUGUUGUUUGCUACAUACUUAAUAGAAGACACUG